UCAUCGGACGCCCGGCGGCCGGUGGCGGAAGCAUCACCAUGAGCCGAGCAAGAUUCUCCAGAUCCGGCUAGUACGUGGUGGCAGCAAUCCUGCGAGUUCCUGUAGCAGAUAUGUCACAGACAAGAAUCUCUAUAAGUAUUUGAAGCAUCUUUCCUAUC